GACUUGUGGACUUGUGCUGUAUA
rnacentral:piRNA from 1 species